UGUACUGAGGCUGUGUGAGGCUCUUGCUUUAGACAGACAACAAGCUAGCAUCUCCUGUCUCUAGUUUUCCUGCGCAAAACAGGUCAGUAGUAAAUAUUAUAUUAUCACAGUUUGUUGUGGAAAAUAGUGGGUUUGGAUCACAACUUUGAAUUUUCCCACCCACUGCAGAGGAGUUUUGCUAGCUUCUGUGUAAACAAUGUAACAAGAUGGCAGCCUAACUGUUGUUUACAUGAUUAUUGUAACUGUACCAGCUACCUUUUAUUGCAUUAGUUUAAUUGAUGUUUGAGGGAAAUACAGAAAUUUGUGGUGACAUUAUUCACAUUUGCAUUUUUGGUGAUAAUAUAUACUUGACACAUUCAUUUAAUAUUGUGUGUUUGUCUCAGUGACCAAUAGAUGGCAGUAUAGAGCACAAAGGCAUUAGUUUUGAAUAGAGAAAAGAAUUGUUUUUCUGUAAAUUAAGGUGACAUUUUUAGUGUAGUCAAGGAAUAUUUUUUAUGUAGUGGUUCUGUGAGGGUUGUUAGCAGGGACAUACAACCAGAAACACAAAGCUUCCAGUCUCUGGUAAUUUUAAUUUCUGUACACAACCACUCUUUUUUACUCAAACUGAAAUUUAAAUCUCUACUAUCAUACUGACAAAUAAGAAUGGGAGUGAUUCUGACUCCUUAAUGAUUACAUCGCCAGCUGUAGCAGAAAUACUGUGAAAACACAUUGACUCAUAUUAAAAGUCAAUUAAAAGGAAAAUUUCUCUGUCUUUGUUUCGGAAAGACAUAAAGAAAUAAAAAAUAAAAAAAUCAGUCUGAACAUUAAAUGAACCAAGUGUCCAAUCAGAAGCGGUUGCUAGGUGGAAUAGAAUCAGUCGACCAAUCAGCGUUUUGUUUGCCGACGUUGGCAGCGUCUGCCGUCACUGGUAGUGACGCACUGUGAGAAGCGGAGAGGAGAGCGGAGCAGCAGACAAACAAAGACGGAGAAAUUUGUGAAAAUAUGGAGAAAACCCGGCGUUUGAGGCGUCGUAACGUCGCUUUGCUUUGUUAGCACUGUCAGAAACUUCAAGACCGAACAAGUGUGGGUGCCAAAACGAGCUUUGGAGCGGUUUUUGUCGAACAGGAGCGAGCACACCUGCGGAACGAAGGUCUUUCCUUGUUGAGCUGCUGCAGCCUGGAGGGAAACACCAGCUCUCACCUCACACACCAAACAGGUGUCACCACUUGGUCCAUGAGUGCAGAGUCUCCUCAAACAGUAAACCAGUUCUCUGAGAGCAGAAGAGAAACCUCCAGGUGAAUUCACAGAAACAACUGGAUCCACUGAAGGUGAAGGUGGAGGAGAAGAAGAUGGAGGCAGCUGAAGGUCUGGACCUGAAGAGGAGGAAAGAAAACACCACAGAUGAAGCUGUUCAGACAACAACAAUACACCCCUC